rnacentral:rRNA from 1 species
UACGUAGGGUGCGAGCGUUAAUCGGAAUUACUGGGCGUAAAGUGUGCGCAGGCGGCCGAGCAAGUCGAGUGUGAAAGCCCCGAGCUUAACUUGGGAAUUGCGCUCGAAACUACUUGGCUGGAGUGUGGCAGAGGAAGGUGGAAUUCCAGGUGUAGCGGUGAAAUGCGUAGAGAUCUGGAGGAACACCGAUGGCGAAGGCAGCCUUCUGGGCCAACACUGACGCUGAGGAGCGAAAGCAUGGGGAGCGAACAGG